CCGGUAAACCUCUGUUCGGAACACGUCGGAUCUCUCUUUCUGCGUUUUGCUUACUGUUCGAACUCCAAUUACAUGUAACCUUGUUGUUGGGAUCGGAUCAUUUGAGUCUCUUUGGGAUUCUUUGUUUUAAGUUAAAUGAUGCUUCUUGCGCCGGAUCGGAGCCACAGUUAUGUGCCUCGAUCGAGGAUUGUAUGCUUCCGUCUCUGUCUGUUUAGUUCUGAGCCGAAUCGGAUCUUGUUCUGCUAUAUAUCAAGGAUUUUACCUGCGCUAGUUGCUUGUGAAUCCAGAUAUAGAAGUUUCAACUUUCAUGUACUUAUUUUGCUGGAUCUUGUAUUGGAGUUCAAGAAAUAUGUCUGAUCUUGCUUUCACCAUUUUCUUUCAAAUGUCUCUCCUGAUUAGGGUUCCAGAUACACUAGUUCUAUCUUCCUCGUAGUAGAUCUGCAGGGAUGACUCUGGUUUUCUAGAAUAUAACCGAACUUUCUUUUUCAUCUAGACUAUAGUAUUAUUAUAUAUUGCUUUGUUGCAGAAAAGAGUUGGUGCAUCAAAUGCAGAAGUCACCAUAAGUCCAAGUCAGUUGUGCUGUGUUUGUCCCGCAUUUGUCCCACAUAUGCACAAAGUAAAGUUGGAUGAAGUUUGGCUGUUUUAUUUCUUCGGAUCUCAGUGACUGGCUUUAAGAUCUUAGAGAUGUGAUAGCGUUGCUGUUUCCUGAUCUAAUACUGUCCUUGAAGGUCAUUGAUCUGCCCAAUCAGUUCUGAUAGAGCCCUAUCUACCAAAUCAUAUCAAUGAAAAUAAACCUAAUAAUUUUCGUUAAUUUUUUUAUGUUGACAACAAUGGCAUUUUGCAUAGGCUUCGAAGAUUUUGAACCCCCAUCGUGUGUUCUGAACAUAUCAUAUAUCUGCCCUUUGCAUAUGGAUGAGUGAUGCCUGCAGGCUACUCAUGCCUUUGGGCCUAAUUUAAUGCGGAUGGGGGCAAUGACAGUCACAAUAAUAGUGAUAGUUAUUUUAUUUUCUUUGUAAUAAUAAUUCUCAUUGAUGGCUUUUAAUGUUCGUAAUGCCACAAUCACUGUCCCAUUUUUCAAUAAUGUGCACGAUGUGCAGCCUGAAUACAAAUCCUUGGACAUGAACAGUUAGGCAAAAGAAGUGCAGAUUACGUGCUGAUUAAUUAGCUUGUUGAUUGACAACUAUUAUAUUCUAUAUUUGUUGACUGUGUAUGAUACAUUAUGGAUGUAGUUUAAAAAUGAGCCAUGGUUAAUCUAGGGCAGCAGAAAUCUGAAAGAACGUUUCUGUUUGGAAGUUUUUGUCUGAAUACUUUUUCUGUUUUUUUCUUUUUUUGCAUUUUACUCAUGACCAGCAACUUCUAUAUUCUUCAAUGUUCCAACAAGUAUACAUUUAAGAUAAGACGAUGAAUUGUUUACAAUGAAAAUUCAUUGUACGUUUAUCAGAUUCUCAUUAUGGCUCCACCUCCUGAAGUACCAACCAAGGCUUCUGGCCUGCAAAUUUCUCAUCCACCACUCAAUGAGAGAAUACUUUCAUCCAUGUCUAGAAGGUCUGUUGCAGCACAUCCUUGGCAUGAUCUUGAAAUAGGUACUCAAUCUCAUAAAAAAAAUUUCAUGUGGUCAUCUAUUCAUCUCUUUCUAUGUUAAUUCCUUUCUUCAUUGGACUUUGGAUUUUGCUUGCAGGCCCUGGUGCGCCUACAAUAUUCAACUGUGUGAGUACACUAUACCUUUCAAUAUUGAGUUGUCCUAUCACAGGGUUUGAUGCUAAUAAAAGGACUUCAUUGUGGUGCUAGAACAUAAAAUUUGGCAACUUUGCUUGUUUUGGCAUGAAAGUAAUUGUGUGUAACCUAGCUAAAAUAUUCAACUGAUAGUGUCUUUAACAAUUAAUAUCUUAAUUCAAUAAUUCAUUUUAUAGGAUCUUUCGGACUUACAUUUAUGUGGAUGAAAAGGAUACUAUAUAUUUGUACUUGAAACAGGAUGCCGUACCUAAUAUUAUAAACAACAAGUUUAAUUCCUGCAGGUGGUGGAAAUAGGAAAGGGAAGCAAAGUGAAAUAUGAACUUGACAAGAAAACUGGGUUGAUAAAGGUAUGCAUGGUACUUUACCCUGUUGCUUCCUUUCUGCUUUCUGUUGUAAACUUCAUAUUUGUUUUCUGUACACAGGUAGACCGAGUGCUUUACUCAUCUGUGGUGUAUCCUCAUAACUAUGGUUUCAUCCCACGCACUCUUUGUGAAGAUAAUGAUCCUUUGGAUGUAUUGGUUAUCAUGCAGGUUUGUAACACUUAGCUCUCAUGGUCGUAAUACUCAUUUACAUUUGUGUAUAAAAGGAAAUAGUUUCCCAACAAAUGCCAUCACAUAAGUCUAUCAGAAAUUUUUCAUAAUUUUUAAGUCUAAAAUUUUAAGUUAUUUCCCUUAUAUUUUUUCCUUUAACAUUUGUAGUUGUUAGUUACUUAAUGGAAUCUAUUAGAAUAGUAAUUGCUGAUGCUGAAUCAACAGGAACCAGUACUCCCAGGAUGCUUUCUUCGAGCUAAAGCCAUUGGUCUAAUGCCUAUGAUCGAUCAGGUCUUGUUUAUGCAUUACUAUGUUGGACCAUUUGAUUUCAUAAUUCAAGGCAUUUGAUUGCUUGACAUUGAUAUAAAAGGUGCUGAUGCAAUUCAUCAUAUCAUAAACAGGGGGAGAAAGAUGACAAGAUAAUUGCCGUCUGUGCUGAUGAUCCUGAAUACAAGCAUUACAAUGAUAUCAAAGAGCUCCCACCUCAUCGUUUAGCUGAGAUCAGGCGUUUCUUUGAAGACUGUAUCCUUGUAUAUUUGUGAACAUUUUUAAAAGGUUAUCCACAAAACAAAGUAAUAUGGUCAAUUAAAUUUCCAGACUUAGGUCCGCCCUACAAUCUACAUCUAUAGAUGCUUGUCAUGUAUAAUUCAUUGAUCACUCUCAUUUUUAAGAAAAGGAUAGACUAGUGUGUAAGACUCUGGCCAAUGUUGAAUAUAGAUAAAAUUAAUAUUUGAUUUCUUACAUUUACCAUAGUGUUUUCAUGACUCGAAUCUAGAUCAUUAGUAGGUAGGUAUUUUGUGUUACAAUUUACUUGUAUUUUUCACUUAUGCUUCUAGAGCACAUGCUUGUAAGAUAUAUUUUCACCCACUCAUUGUCUUAUGUGCUCUCAUCUCCUUCGGUUUUGGUGUAUCUUAUGCAAAGCAGGAGACAGGUAUUGAUCUUAUAGAGAAACUACUGAUGUUUUAGCUCAUGUAAAGUUCAACUUUGUCCUCUAUAUCUGAAACUCUUCCCAGAAGUAUAAAUCCACAAGUAUUAGACUCAUCAAAUUUGAUUCUCCUUGACCAUAGAAAAUCAGAUAAGAAAAAUGAAAACAAGGACGUUGCUGUAAAUGACUUCCUGCCUGCAUCUUCAGCUUACAAAGCAAUACAGCAUUCCAUGUAAGUAUUAUCAUGUUUGUCAUUUUUUUAUAUCUUUGGCUUGCUGCCUACGUAUCCUCAAUUAUAUUACAGGACUGGUAUAUCUUUACAAUAAAAUACUUACCUAAAACUUGAUGUUGCUUUUUUCAAAAUACAUAAGAAAUUAAUCCAUUUAGUUAGAGUCAUUCCUGCCUAAUGCUUGGGGAGACAUGUGAUCGGGGAUCAAAAUUCGGACCAUUUUCACAAUAUGAUCCCUAAGCACAACUGUUUAUGACAAAGCAUAUAACAUUGCCCUACAUGUGAUAACAACUUCAAAUUGGACCGCAGUAUUAUCUUUUUUCUUGUUAUGCCCUAAUCAAAUUUGCGGAAUGUUAUUCUUGGUCUUUAGGUUUUAGAACAUUCAGACUGGAACAACUUGGACGGUCUUCAUUUCUGAUUGCAUUCCUGUACUUGGGAUGUAAAUCAUAUUCUUUUAUUAUAAAAGAGAUUUGUAGUAUUUGCUAUUUUUCACAUAAUCUAUAUCCCCUUUUGAUAUUUGAACUUACUUUCAGGGACCUUUAUGCUACUUACAUUGUUGAAAGCUUGAGGAGGUAGGAGGCAUUUGGAGGGGCGAUUAUAUAUAUAUAUAUAUAUAUAUAUAUAUAUAUAUAUAUAUAUAUAUCUAGGAGGACCAUUCAAACAGUUCUUUGUUGAUGCUUGUUACAUGACACUUUGCCAAUGAGGGUAUAUCAAAGUGGACACUGUUACAACGAAAGUGCUAGUUGUUUAAUGUAAUUGCAAGCCUGGUUACUUUAUUAAUCGCAUAGGAAGUUGCUUGCUUAUUCAUGUGAUUGUAUAGACUAGACUGGAAGUUGCUUGUUCAUGUGAUUGUAAACACUUGGUGUCUAUUUUUCUCCUAUUAUCAAAAGCCAAACAGUGUACUGCAUCUCUGGUGAUCUUUGCAAAAUAUGAUAACCUGUUUGUUUUGGAAAAUGCUGGACUGGUUACCUCCAUUAUUUGAGUCAUAGGAAGAUCGACUAGUUACAUUACUUUUGACAUUAAUGCUAAAAUAGAUUAUAAAUCCUUGUUAAUGCUCUUGACAUCAUUCGGGAUUGUUAAACCGAGCAGGCAAAUUCUACUGUAUGAGAUGUGUCUUAUGCAUAUCUGCCAUCCCAAAGCCAUAGUGGUUUCUGUAUGAGAUGUCUUGUGAAAUCGCAGAGUGCGAGUAAAGAUGUUAGAGCUAGUCUCUUUGUUUGGUUGUCAGCCACAUUUAAUUUUGACCCGAAUUGGACGUGAAAGCUUCGGAGCUGGAUUAGGCUUCGUAGUUAUUUUAAUUGUUCUAGUCAACAUUGUUGUAGUUAUUUUAGUUGCUAGAACAACAAAACACACUUCAUCCUUUCAACUUACUUAAUGAGCGAGAUUGCACCUUUACAUUACGGCGGCAACGUGGAGCCAUCGCGUCGAACGGACGCGGGAACGCGAAGGUUCGAACUUAGCGGUGUUACAAUAAAGCGCCAGAGCCCCUAUUUAAGGGGAGGAAGCGGGAAGCCAAAAUCCAUCUCGUCGUUUUCUCUCUUCUGCCGGCCCGACUCCAUUUCUAGGGCUUGGUUCUCGUUUUCUCUUCCCUUGCUCUGAUCUCCGGCUUCGAGGAGAUCCGGAGCGGUUCCAGCUCCUGUUCCGAUCUACUGAUUCCGGUAAACCUCUCUUUGGAACACCUCAGAUCUGUCUUUUUGCGGUUUUAUUACUGUUUGAAUUUCGAUUACAUGAAACCUUGUUUGUUGGGUUGGGUGUCUUUGAGGGUUCUUUGUUCGAAGUUUGAUGAUGCGUUUCGGGCCAGAUCGGAGCCAGAGACAUGGGCCUCGAUCGAGGAUUGUAUGCUUCCGUCUCUGUCUGUUUAGUUCUGAGCCGAAUCGGAUCUUGUUCUGCUAUAUAUCAAGGAUUUUACCUGCGCUAGUUGCUUGUGAAUCCAGAUAUAGAAGUUUCAACUUUCAUGUACUUAUUUUGCUGGAUCUAGUCUUGGAGUUCAAGAAAUAUGUCUGAUCUUGCUUCCACCAUUUUCUUUCAAAUGUCUCUCCUGAUUAGGGUUCCAGAUACACUAGUUCUAUCUUCCUCGUAGUAGAUCUGCAGGGAUGACUCUGAUUUUCUAGAAUAUAACCGAACUUUCUUUUUCAUCUAGACUAUAGUAUUAUUAUAUAUUGCUUUGUUGCAUAAAAGAGUUGGUGCAUCAAAUGCAGAAGUCACCAUAAGUCCAAG
rnacentral:lncRNA from 1 species